GAGAGAGAAAAGAGAACC
rnacentral:miRNA from 1 species